rfam:Sistotremastrum suecicum HHB10207 ss-3 unplaced genomic scaffold SISSTscaffold_54, whole genome shotgun sequence.
GCCCGCCUAGCUCAAUCGGAUAGAGCGUCAGACUCUUAAGAAGCGAGUGCCGAUUCGGCAUCUGAAGGCUGUGGGUUCGAUUCCCACGGUGGGCU